GACAGAGGGUGCAAACGUUGUUCGGAAUUACUGGGCGUAAAGCGCGUGUAGGCGGCCCGGAAAGUCGGAUGUGAAAGCCCUGGGCUUAACCUAGGAAGUGCAUUCGAAACUGCUGGGCUUGAGUUCUGGAGAGGAAGGCGGAAUUCUCGGUGUAGAGGUGAAAUUCGUAGAUAUCGAGAGGAACACCGGUGGCGAAGGCGGCCUUCUGGACAGUGACGUGACGCUGAGACGCGAAAGCGUGGGGAGCAAACAGGG
rnacentral:rRNA from 1 species